UUAUUCCACAAGGGGAGCCUGUGAGGCUGAGAGUGAAUGUUCGAAUUCUGACCCUUCGAACCUGUUAGUUAAUUCUAGCGUAGGAAUGUGGCGGAUAAAUGCG
rnacentral:ncRNA from 2 species